UCGUGGGGCUCCGGCCCCGUCGAGAUAGAACCCUUGCCUUUUGAGUACCCCUUUUCCGUUUCCUCGGCGGGUUCGCCCGCCGGUGGAGGCGCCAAAAAACACUUUGCAGUACCUGUAACCGUCUGAGAAACAAACAAAAAAUCA
rnacentral:misc_RNA from 1 species